GUCCACGCCGUAAACGGUGGGUGCUAGUUGUGGGCCACAUUCCACGUGGUCUGUGACGAAGUUAACACAUUAAGCACCCCGCCUGGGGAGUACGGUCGCAAGACUAAAACUCAAAGGAAUUGACGGGGGCCCGCACAAGCGGCGGAGCAUGCGGAUUAAUUCGAUGCAACGCGAAGAACCUUACCAAGACUUGACAUAUAGUAGAAAAGCGUAGAAAUACGCUCCCCGCAAGGCUGCUAUACAGGUGGUGCAUGGUUGUCGU
rnacentral:rRNA from 1 species